GUAAUACCCUUCUUUUUCCGGUUCUUCCCUUAAACAGAAACCCAACACCCCUCUCUCAGUUUCUUUGCAAUUCAACUCUCUUCCCAUCUGUCUUUCUCUCAAACCUUGCUGCCAUCUCACAACCUCUUGGUUCUUGAUCAGAUUCUGGACAAAUAACCACAACUGAGCCUCCUGCUGCCUCCACUCUUAGCCUCCCUUCCUCUAGGUUAAGCUAAGGAAUUAUGCUCCUCCUCUCUUAAGUUGCCUUCACUCAAGUAUUCACCCAAAAAUAGAUAAAGGUGCAGGUGAGGAUACACCCCUCUUGGACAGGAGUUGAGUGGUGUUUGGACGCUUCCAACAGUAGUUGUCACCCUUUUAUUUUUUUUUUCGCUUAGAUGUUUUGGGUGUUUUGUAACCCUUUAUGCUUUGUAUGGGCUGUAUGUAUUAGACAAUAUAUGUAUAGUUAUUUUGAGGAUGACUGUAUUGUACUUUAUACUGACCUAUUAGU